AUCCAUUUCUAAUCGGGGCAUUGCAUUUAAUCCCUGCAACACUUUCCGCUCCAGCAACAACUGCCUGAAGCACUUUUCUAUUUCAGCCUCCUCAAAUGGAGCUGUGUACUACUCAAUCCCUUUCUAAUCUUCCCAAAAUUUUCACCUCAAAGACCAUUCUCCUCCGCUCCAAAACCGCCUUCACUCUCCAGCAAGCCCAAAUCCCUCGCUCCGGCCUCCUCUGCAGCCUCCACUCCCGAUUUCUUUCUGUACCAAGAGCAACAGCACCUGAGGAAUCUUCGACCGGAGCAAGUCUGUAUGCCACCGAAGAACGAGAUUGUGCAGUGGUAGUAGAAGUUGAUCCUCCAAUUGAAAAGAGAGUGUACAAUGAGAGCAGGGCAACUGGAGCGCCCCUGGAUGAUUCUCCUGUUGAUGAACAAGUGAACGGGUUUUUGGAUAACCUGAACAUUAAGUUUGACUCUGAAGAUACUUAUUCUAUUCUGUUUUAUGGUGGUGGUGCCCUGCUUGCCCUGUGGUUAGCAUCAGCCAUUGUUGGUGCUAUUGAUUCUAUUCCAUUGUUUCCUAAGUUGAU
rnacentral:misc_RNA from 1 species